AAAUUGUUGUUUGAUUGGAUGCAUGGCUUUUGACAUCAAGCAUGAAAGCUUUUUUUUUCUAGAAGUUUCUAAACAUGGAAGGUAAGGAGUAUUUUAUUUAUUUAUUUAUUUUAAUUCCACAACUCAUUAUCAAGGCAGAUAUGCUACAUUUUUUGGUCCAGGAUGCACUAUAGACCCCACGAGAAAGCAACUGCAAUUGCUGUUUGCUCCACAGUGGGUCUCUCUCUCACACAGACAAGCACAACACUGUCUGUCUCUCCCUACCAAACCUACAUCUGCUCUGCUGUACUUUCUCUGUCUUUUCUCCAUGCAUUUCAUGGUAAUCAUCAUUUAGAUACCAUGCUGAAUCACAGAACUCAUACAGUAUAUGCAUGUGUUUAUUUUCACCCCAUAUUAUCUCUCUCCAUUAAAUCUCCAGUUUUGCUUGCCGGAGUUUCCAUCUGUUGGAGUCACUGAAGUCGAGUCAUCUGAGGUCACUGAUGGAGUCGUUCUUCACGCAGCGCUCAGUGAGAUCCAAUCCCAACAGAAGAGUCCGAGCACGUGGCAGAGUCUCAGCUAGCUCGAUGGGUUUUGAUGAUUUUUUUCUCCUCUCUGAAAGAAGUGACAGGCCAAGAGUAAUGGAGAAGUGACGUGGAGGAGUUAUUCAGUGAGGCCAGUGGUAUUCAAUGUGUGGUUAUCUUCAUCUUAAACUUGCUACAAACUGCUGAAAAGACAAACUUGUAAUGCUGGUCGUUUCACUAGUUACAUGUACUUGUUUGCAUGUACUUAUUUUAUGACGUGUGUGUUCUUUUGUACAGAUUGUGAUGUUCGUGUAGGAUGGCAAACGUUCCACACCUUUAUGUUGCAGCAUUACAAACAUAUCAAAGACUCGAUGAAGGCCUGUAAAAAUGUACUCAUCUCACAGCCUUUAAUACACCACUGUACCUAUAACAUGCAAGAGCCAAUCGUGUGUGUCUUGGCUUUGAGUCAGUCUCCACCCAUGCUUUACAUCAGCAUCAGCACGAGAGGGCCUCUCAGUGUGUGGAACAGACAUCUGAACAACAUCAAGCCACUGGAAGUGACAUAUUAACAUUUAAUUCACAGAAUGAUAUGUUUACAGUAUUAUUUUGUGACCAUUCAUGAAUCUAAAACCUCUCCUCCAUUCCUGCAGAUGAGUGCUGUCCCCUUUAGUAAAAGGCAGUAUCAUAAGAGGUUCCAGGGCUGGAGCACCAAUGCUGUCUACAUGCCAAAUGUUCACAAGAUCGCUGUGGUAACCCUGAGCAGGGGCAUCCACAUGCAGUUUUGAGCAGGUUCAUUUGUUCGGCCAGCAAGCCUGUCAGAUGUGGUAGUUUGCUUUUCUGCUUACAUUUUGACUUUGUUGUCUUCCUGUUUUUUCAGGACUGAGUCACAUUGCUACUGCUCUGUGUUACUGGUACGACACAGAGGUAGGCUGCUGACAUUUCAUGGCCCAGUGUUGAACUUGAAUUUAUUUUAAGCUUGCUAAUUCUCCAAGCUGGUUUGUUUUUGUUUGAGUUUACCGUGAGUCGUUUUUGAUCUGCGUCUAGGCUCCAGGAGAAAAGUGUGUGCGGAUGUGGGGCGAUGACAGGGGCUCUAUGAAUUUGUUGAGGUUUCUUCAUCCUUUCAAGGGGCCCUUUGAAAUGCUUUUUAGCAACCAGUUCAAAUCUUUAUGCCAGUGAGUGUGUGUAUUUUCAAGUAGGGAUGACUGACUAUUGUGCCAAGACAGCUUGGCCAUGUGUGAAAUAAAAUGGCCAUAUUUCUUUCUUGAACUCA
ensembl:lncRNA